UACGUAGGGUGCAAGCGUUGUCCGGAAUUAUUGGGCGUAAAGCGCGCGCAGGCGGUCAUUUAAGUUUGGUGUUUAAGCCCGGGGCUCAACCCCGGAUCGCACUGAAAACUGGAUGACUUGAGUGCGGGAGAGGAAAGUGGAAUUCCACGUGUAGCGGUGAAAUGCGUAGAGAUGUGGAGGAACACCAGUGGCGAAGGCGACUUUCUGGACCGUAACUGAACGCUGAGG
rnacentral:rRNA from 1 species